AUGAAUAACUUGAUGUGGUUGUAGCUGGCUCUUAGGAGCAUGUGCACGCCCGUCAUCUUAUCUUUCCACCUGUGCACAUAAUGUAGAUCUGGAUAACUCUCGCUCUCACGAGCGGAAACAGGGAUUGCUGUGUCGCAAGACCAGCUCUCCUUGAAUUUCCAGGUCUAUGUCAUUACAAACUCCAAUUGAAUGAUGUAGAAUGAAGUCAAUGGGCUCUAAGCCUAUAAAACACAAUA
rnacentral:misc_RNA from 1 species